GACGAGGGAUCCUAGCGUUGUUCGGAAUUAUUGGGCGUAAAGCGGAUGUAGGUGGCUUUGUAAGUCAGGUGUGAAAGCCUAGGGCUCAACCCUAGAAGUGCAUCUGAUACUGCGAAGCUUGAGUGUGGGAGAGGAUAGUAGAAUUCCUGGUGUAGUGGUGAAAUACGUAGAUAUCAGGAGGAAUACCGGAGGCGAAGGCGGCUAUCUGGCCCAACACUGACACUGAGAUCCGAAAGCGUGGGGAUCAAAC
rnacentral:rRNA from 1 species